rnacentral:rRNA from 1 species
AUUGAACGCUGGCGGCAUGCCUUACACAUGCAAGUCGAACGGCAGCACGGGAGCUUGCUCCUGGUGGCGAGUGGCGAACGGGUGAGUAAUACAUCGGAACGUACCCUGAAGUGGGGGAUAACGUAGCGAAAGUUACGCUAAUACCGCAUAUUCUGUGAGCAGGAAAGAGGGGGAUCGCAAGACCUCUUGCUUUAGGAGCGGCCGAUGUCGGAUUAGCUAGUUGGUGAGGUAAAGGCUCACCAAGGCGACGAUCCGUAGCGGGUCUGAGAGGAUGAUCCGCCACACUGGGACUGAGACACGGCCCAGACUCCUACGGGAGGCAGCAGUGGGGAAUUUUGGACAAUGGGCGCAAGCCUGAUCCAGCCAUGCCGCGUGAGUGAAGAAGGCCUGGUGUAAGCUCUUCGUGGGGUAAGGAAAGUUAGC